rnacentral:lncRNA from 1 species
UUUUUAAUUUCAAGAAGAAUAACCUUUCUUCACAGGUCCCUUCCCUAUUUCUCCCAUGGGACAGUUUUUAGUCUGAAGAUACAAAGGGCAUAAGGGUGAUUCUCCUGUAAGUUCAACAGUAAAAAGUAACAAUUUCUUUGUAAACCCGGAGUCUCUGCCUGUUCUUGGUUGGAGUUCUAACACACCAUUUUCAAGGAAAAUUCUAAAUGAAUGAAGGAGUGUGGUACUUAAUUUUAAAUGUAUGAGUUAUAUUAAAAGUACAAAAAAGUUGUUUGAUAACCCUCUGCUGUAUGAAGACAUGGUGUUAAGCCUGUGUGCUGGUGGAUAUAUCCCUUAUAGACACUUUAGGAUAAAAAUAAAGAUAUCGAUUCCAAAAUAAUUAGAAGAAUGUCUAAUUUUAUUCCAAUAUUACUUCCAAAGAGGAUAUACAAAUAUUUUAGGGAUGGUGGAAUCUAGGGCAGAAGAGAGUAACCAGCAGCAAACAUCUUGCUCUGGAUAGUAUGGCUGUACCGUUCCUUUACUUGAGCAGAGUAAACUGGAUCAGAUUACUUAAGGGAGAGGGGAAAGCAAUACAGAAUUAUAGUAACUUUUAAUGGCUGCUAAUAUAUUCUUCGUAAGUGAAUCACUCUAUUAUGCUUUUCUGUUGUACUGAAUGAAACAACAAAGGAAAUAGUAUUUCAAGGUAUUCCAUUUUUGUAUACUUGACUUUGUAACUACUUGAAUAGCAGCCAAGCUCUUGUGCUCUGAAGUGUUGGACAGAAGCACACGUUUAUCUUCUUGAACUUAAAGAAGUCCAGAUAUAGUUGCACUUAUCAACUCGGUUAAAAGGAUACCAUCUCUAGGCACUGCACAAAAGUUCAAAUGUGCAGCAAACUGUUCUUUUUCUCAUUCUCAAAAAAGAUUUUAUUGUUCAUAAAACUUCUGCCUGCAUUUUUUUUUCUUUUUAGGUUUUCCAAUUAAAGGUAAAUAAGGAAGUAUUUGUUUUCUUUAAA